UGGCUCAGAAGGAACGCUAGAUAUAUGCCUAACACAUGCAAGUCAACCAUAGUUUUCUGUUGUUUCUAAACGUUGUGGCAAACGGGUGCCUAAUACGUAGGAAUCCACCUACCAGUUCGGGAUAGAUCCCUAAGCUAACAAGCGCUGUUAGACGAGCCUUCGGAGUAUUAGGUUGUUGGGGCAGGUAAGCGCUGACCAAGCCGAUGAUGCUUUGCUGGUCUUUUCGGACGAUCAGCCACACCGGGAUUGAGACACGGCCCGGACUCCUACGGGAGGCAGCAGUGGGGAAUCUUGGACAAUGGGCUAAAGCCUGAUCCAGCAAUAUUGCGUGAGUGAAGAAGUUGCCUACAUGGUGAUGAAGGGCCAUUUCGCUCGUAAAGCUCUUUCAGCGAGUGUGACAUCAUGAUAGGAAUCGAAGAAGAAGCCCCGGCUAACUCCGUGCCAGCAGCCGCGGUAAGACGGAGGGGGCAAGUGUUCUUCGGAAUGACUGGGCGUAAAGUGCACGUAGGCCGUUCAUCGUGUAGAAUGUGAAAGUCGCCAAAAAGUGGCGGAAUGCUUUCUAAACUAAUGGACUUGAGUGAGACAGAGGAGAGUGGAAUUUCGUGUGUAGGGGUGAAAUCCGGAGAUCUGCGAGGGAAGGCCAAAAGCGAAGGCAGCUCUCUGGGUCUUUACUGACGUUAAGGUGCGAAAGCAUGGGUCGCAAACAGGAUUAGAGACCCUGGUAGUCCAUGCCGUAAACGAUGAGUGUUAGUUCUUGGUUUUCAUCAGGGGCACAGCUAACGCGUGAAACACUCCGCCUGGGGAGUACGUUCGCAAGAAUGAAACUCAAAGGAAUUGACGGGGGCCUGCACAAGCGGUGGAGCAUGUGGUUUCAUUCGAUACAACGCGCAAAACCUUACCAGUCCUUGACAUAGCUUGAAUUGAAUACAACAACAACAGAAAGCAUACAGGUGUUGCAUGGCUGUCGUCAGCUCGUGUCGUGAGAUGUUUGGUCAAGUCCUUGUAACGAGCGAAACCCUCUUUUUCUGUUGAAUGCCGCUACUCAGAAAAGACUAUCAGUGACAUACUGGAGGAAGGUGGGGAUGACGUCAAGUCCUCAUGGCCCUUAUGGACUGGGCCACACACGUGCUACAAUGGUAAUGACAAUGGGUAGCAAGGCUGCAAAGCGGAGCGAAUCCCCAAAGAUUGCCUCAGUUCAGAUUGUUCUCUGCAACUCGGGAACAUGAAGUAGGAAUCGCUAGUAAUCGCGGAUCAGCAUGCCGCGGUGAAUAUGUACCCGGGCCCUGUACACACCGCCCGUCACACCCUGGGAAUGGAUUUCGCCCGAAGCCUAAGAAGCAGUCUCAGCCAAGGCUUCCUGUGCCAAGCACAAAGCUCUUUGCUCUGAUCUUGUUUGUAGGUUACGGUGGGGUCUUCGACUGGGGUGAAGUCGUAACAAGGUAGCCGUAGGGGAACCUGUGGCUGGAU
rnacentral:rRNA from 1 species